GAUGAACGCUGGCGGCGUGCCUAAUACAUGCAAGUCGAGCGAACAGACGAGGAGCUUGCUCCUCUGACGUUAGCGGCGGACGGGUGAGUAACACGUGGAUAACCUACCUAUAAGACUGGGAUAACUUCGGGAAACCGGAGCUAAUACCGGAUAAUAUAUUGAACCGCAUGGUUCAAUAGUGAAAGACGGUUUUGCUGUCACUUAUAGAUGGAUCCGCGCCGCAUUAGCUAGUUGGUAAGGUACCGGCUUACCAAGGCAACGAUGCGUAGCCGACCUGAGAGGGUGAUCGGCCACACUGGAACUGAGACACGGUCCAGACUCCUACGGGAGGCAGCAGUAGGGAAUCUUCCGCAAUGGGCGAAAGCCUGACGGAGCAACGCCGCGUGAGUGACGAAGGUCUUCGGAUCGUAAAACUCUGUUAUUAGGGAAGAACAAAUGUGUAAGUAACUAUGCACGUCUUGACGGUACCUAAUCAGAAAGCCACGGCUAACUACGUG
rnacentral:rRNA from 1 species